GGCACCAUAGUGUAGUUGGUUAACGCGUCGGCGUACACUGCCGAAGUUAAUGGUUCAAGUCCAGCCAGUAUCC
rnacentral:tRNA from 1 species